rnacentral:rRNA from 1 species
AAACCAACAGGGAUUGCCUCAGUAGCGGCGAGUGAAGCGGCAAGAGCUCAGAUUUGAAAUCUCACCCCUUGUGGGUGCGAGUUGUAAAUUGCAGGUUGGAGUCUCGGUUUAGACGUGUGUGCAAGUCCCUUGGAACAGGGCGCCACUGAGGGUGAGAGCCCCGUAGUGUGCACGAUCGACGCUGUGAGGCCCUUCUGACGAGUCGAGUUGUUUGGGAAUGCAGCUCUAAGUGGGUGGUAAAUUCCAUCUAAGGCUAAAUAUUGGCGAGAGACCGAUAGCGAACAAGUACUGUGAAGGAAAGAUGAAAAGCACUUUGAAAAGAGAGUGAAACAGCACGUGAAAUUGUUGAAAGGGAAGGGUAUUGGGCUCGACAUGGGAUUUACGCAUCGUUGCCUCUCGUGGGCGGCGCUCUGGGUUUUUCCUGGGCCAGCAUCGGUUUCUGUUGCAGGAUAAGGACCUUUGGAAUGUGGCUCCUCGGAGUGUUAUAGCCAUUGGUAGAUGCUGCAUAUGGGGACCGAGGGCUGCGGCGGACUCGUUUUCGUCUCGGAUGCUGGCACAACGGCGCAAUACCGCCCGUCUUGAAACAUGGACCAAGGAGUCUAACGUCUAUGCGAGUGUUUGGGUGUUAAACCCGUACGCGUAAUGAAAGUGAACGUAGGUCGGACCGCUUUCCCCUUGGGGGGCGGGCACGAUCGACCGAUCCUGAUGUUUAUCGGAUGGAUUUGAGU